rnacentral:rRNA from 1 species
GGUGGUGCAUGGUUGUCGUCAGCUCGUGUCGUGAGAUGUUCGGGUUAAGUCCCGCAACGAGCCGCAACCCUCGACCUUAGUUGCCAGCAUUCAGUUGGGCACUCUAAGGUGACUGCCGGCUAAAAGUCGGAGGAAGUGGGGAUGACGUCAAAUCAUCAUGCCCUUAUGACCUGGGCUACACACGUGCUACAAUGGGCGGUACAAAGGGUCGCGAACCCGCGAGGGGGAGCCAAUCCCAUAAAGCCAUUCGUAGUCCGGAUCGCAGUCUGCAACUCGACUGCGUGAAGUCGGAAUCGCUAGUAAUCGUGGAUCAGAAUGUCACGGUGAAUACGUUCCCGGGUCUU